UGUUGCCUACGGGAGGCAGCAGUGAGGAAUAUUGGUCAAUGGGCGAAAGCCUGAACCAGCCAAGUCGCGUGAGGGAUUAAGGCCCUAUGGGUCGUAAACCUCUUUUGUCAGGGAGCAAGACCUUUCACGUGUGGGAGGCUGGAGAGUACCUGAAGAAAAAGCAUCGGCUAACUCCGUGCCAGCAGCCGCGGUAAUACGGAGGAUGCGAGCGUUAUCCGGAUUUAUUGGGUUCAAAGGGUGCGUAGGCGGGACCUUAAGUCAGCGGUAAAAUUGCGGUGCUCAACGCCGUAGAGCCGUUGAAACUG
rnacentral:rRNA from 1 species